rnacentral:rRNA from 1 species
GAUGAACGCUGGCGGCGUGCCUAAUACAUGCAAGUCGAGCGAACAGACGAGGAGCUUGCUCCUCUGACGUUAGCGGCGGACGGGUGAGUAACACGUGGAUAACCUACCUAUAAGACUGGGAUAACUUCGGGAAACCGGAGCUAAUACCGGAUAAUAUAUUGAACCGCAUGGUUCAAUAGUGAAAGACGGUUUUGCUGUCACUUAUAGAUGGAUCCGCGCCGCAUUAGCUAGUUGGUAAGGUAACGGCUUACCAAGGCAACGAUGCGUAGCCGACCUGAGAGGGUGAUCGGCCACACUGGAACUGAGACACGGUCCAGACUCCUACGGGAGGCAGCAGUAGGGAAUCUUCCGCAAAGGGCGAAAGCCUGACGGAGCAACGCCGCGUGAGUGAUGAAGGUCUUCGGAUCGUAAAACGCUGUUAUUAGGGAAGAACAAAUGUGUAAGUAACUAUGCACGUCUUGACGGUACCUAAUCAGAAAGCCACGGCUAACUACGUG